AGGACUUAAGCUACAGGAGUAACAACAAUAGUUGGCAGCAGGAGAAGGCUGUUUUCCCAUAGCAGGCGUGAUGGGGUUUUGGCUCUGGGUUCUGGGAUCAGGAAGUGGUCGGAGCUAUUGCACCUGGAGUCAACUGAUAGAUGUUUGAUUACUUCUGGAUGAUUCCCUCCUUCACAUUCAGCUUCCAAACUGGCCGCAAUCUCGAUUUGAAGGGGGAGGAGAUCAACAUUGGAGAUGUGUGGCUUCUGGGGACUUCUUUCUCCUUCGCUACCAUGAGUAGACUUAGGAAAGGCCUUUGCAUUCCUCCCCACCCAGGAGCAGCCUGAGGAGGAAGAAGUGGAGUGCCAAGACUUUUUGUAGCAGAACCCAAUACAUUUCACGUUAAAGCUGAACGUUUGAACCCACAGCGUGUGAUGUAAUGGAGGAUGAGUCUUUUUCAGCUGUGAAGGUGAAGAUGCGUUUCCCAGCAGUGUAUAUCAGGGUGUCACUGAUGUGGGGGGUGGGAGGGGGCAGAAAGAGGAUUAAAUUCUGCUGUCCCACUGCAAGGCAAAGCUGCUGGUUUUAGUACUUCAACAUACGUACCUGUAAAAUCCAGCCCUGAAGAAUCUGACUGAAGGGACCUAAAGAAACAAAAUAUAGGAACAUGGGGGGGAAACCCAAGCAGGCCAUGUACUUUUAGCCCUAGAUGUUAUAGGGAUAUGAAAACAGCUUAGGAGACAAUCAGAAAUAACCCGAAUCUUCACCACAAACCCAAACCAGAAACGAUCAGCACCCUCAGAAAACGUUCUGUUCCUAUAAAAAUGUAUUUUCCAUUUCCACUUGCCUCUGGAAUUCCCAUUUCCACCUGGAAGCUGAAAUGCAAACGCUCUGUGGGGAAUGCCUCUGGAGCGUGUUCCUCAGCUAUGUGAACUGUUUGGCCUACAGUUUCCUUUCCGCCCCCAAAUGGACAAUGCACUGAGGCCCAGCUCCUCAAAGGUCUUUAGGUGCUUCACUCCUGUAGGAGGCACCUGAAUACCUUUUAAAUGACAUAGGUGGUUUCACUGAACUGUGCUUUUGGUAAAGUUUUGAGGGUUACCACACAGUUCCUUGUUUUGUCCUUGAGCAGGGCUCUGCUGUUACGAUACAG